CCAGUGAGGGAAUGAAGGACGGCACAUUAUCUUUGUAACAGGGAUCCAGCAGGCUGGCCACCCAGUAAUCAGCACAAGUUAGAAUGUGGGUAACUCGGCAAUCGUUGCGCAGGAACUUUGGUGACUCUAGAUAACCUCGGGCCGAUCGCACGUCCCCGUGACAGCGACGGCGCAUUCGGAUGUCUGCCCUAUCAACUUUCAAUGGUACUUUCUGCGCCUACCAUGGUGACCACGGGUAAUGGGGAACCAGGGUUCGAUUCCU
rnacentral:rRNA from 1 species